rnacentral:rRNA from 1 species
UACGUAGGGGUCUAGCGUUGUCCGGAAUCAUUGGGCGUAAAGAGCUCGUAGGUGGUUUGUCGCGUUGUUCGUGAAAACUCACAGCUCAACUGUGGGCGUGCGGGCGAUACGGGCAGACUGGAGUACUGCAGGGGAGACUGGAAUUCCUGGUGUAGCGGUGGAAUGCGCAGAUAUCAGGAGGAACACCGGUGGCGAAGGCGGGUCUCUGGGCAGUAACUGACGCUGAGGAGCGAAAGCGUGGGGAGCGAACAGG